AUAACUAUUAUUAUUCUAAAAUCUCAUUUUAAAUUAAUGAAAAUAAGAAAAAUGACUAACCUAGGUUUUGUUGAAGGUUGUAGAUCGUAGAUCGGAUGCCGGUGAGAGAUGGAGCCGCCGCCGACAAGGGUUGAUGUCGCCGCCGAUGAUGGGAGUUGGAUCGGUUUGGGAGAGAUGAGUGAAAGGGAGUGUUGGGGGAGAGAUGAGGGAGGGGUAUUUUGGUCUCAAAAGUUGUUUUAUGACUAAUGUUGAUAGAAAUAUUUU
rnacentral:lncRNA from 1 species